UACAGAGGUCUCGAGCGUUGUUCGGAUUCAUUGGGCGUAAAGGGCGCGUAGGCGGCGGGGUAAGUCUGGUGUGAAAUCUCGGAGCUCAACUCCGAAAUUGCACUGGAUACUGCUCUGCUAGAGGGCUGGAGAGGAGAUCGGAAUUCACGGUGUAGCAGUGAAAUGCGUAGAUAUCGUGAGGAACACCGGUGGCGAAGGCGGCCUUCUGGACGGAUACUGACGCUGAGACGCGAAAGCGUGGGGAGCAAACAGG
rnacentral:rRNA from 1 species